GAGAGGGCUGUCCCUGCCCGCACUAGCGGGGGCUGCAGGGCAAUGCGGGGGGCACGGCCGGGAAUAGGGGUAGCGCGGAGAUGCAGCGGGUACCGGCAGCACUGGGAACGGGCGGCCGGAUGGCCGCAUUCUCGCUCGCCUGAGAUUUUAAGGAUCCGAAGGCCUCAACAGGGCUCAGUUGCAAUGAGCGCUAUACGCUGGAUAAGAAGAGACAGCCCCGGCCUCUGAGAGCUUGUAAUGCUAACACCCUAUGUGCUUCAGCUCCCAGAAAGGGGAACAUGGAGAAAAAAGUCUUCAGAUGAUUGCCUUAAACACUUAUGAAGAAAAGGAGCCCUAUGCUAUUGCAGAAGAAAGGAAGGCAAGAGUGAGAGGGAGAGAAGAAGACCAGUGAGUAACAUUCAAGUCCGAAAGCUUCUGGUUACCUCCCCUGGAGUAAAAAUGUGGAUUUCUUCUCUCCAUUCCUCCUGUAAAAGCUAGAGGAGGAGGAACACUUUGUAAGUGGUAGGUUUAGGGAAGACUCUUUGCAGUUAGUGGCCCCCAUGAAAAUCCUUCCCCUUCCAGACUAUCAGCCAGUUAGGCCUCACAGCUCUUUAUUUUGCACAAAUAUUCAGUACUUCUGGUUGGCAUAGCUGCACUGAAACAGUACUUUGCAGCAGAUCCUAAAUUGUUUGUGGGGUUUGAGGUGAGGGAAUUAGCCAGUGGAGGCAUGUUUGGAUGCAUAAGGAAAAAAAACAAACAAAAGAAACAUAAAACUAUCCUACUGAGCUGUGUGGCAUUUCCCCAUUCCAAAUAAUUCCUGGCAUUUCAAGCAGACAUUUCUAUUUAAUAAACCAAGAGGCAUAAAAAUCACAGCAGCUAGCAACCUAGCAGGAGCUUAGUGUUAAGAAAUAAGAAAGGCUAUUUAAAAGUGCUGACCAAAAGGCAGGAAUUGACAGCCACAUUGUCCAGGAGUCCAGUUUUCCAACUACCACCAAAACUUGCAAUAAUUCCUACCAGAAUAACACUGGAUGAUGAAUAGAUAGUUCACAAAGAGCAGUAAAACAUAAUGAGACAUCUGAGGCUACCUUUUCUUAAAGGUGUGGGACAAGAAGGAGUCUAAAUAUCUUAAAAUUGGAAUAACGAAGUGAUAGAUCCAUGAGAGCAGAUCCUAGGUGACAGACAACUGUCAGAAAAUAGAAUCCCCGUAGUGGGUUACUUGGAGGUUCUUUCUUUCAGUGCAUGGAAGGCACAGAGCAGUGAGUUAUCCAGGCAGUGUCUGUGCUGCAAGACUUCUCCCUGAAAGGUUAAUUUGGUUAGAGGUGCAAUUUUUAUCCAGCAGAGGUGUGCCAGCAGAGGCCUUUAAUGUAGAUGCAGUUCGUAUUGACAGAAUUUUGGUUUUAGCAUCACAUUUUUCUCCAUGGUGUGGAGUAAUUUCGUUAUGCUGGAUCAAAGAUCAGACCCAGUGGUCCAGCUACAUCUGCUCAGCCACUGUGUCAGUGCAAUGUGCUGAGCCCCAUGCCAAACUGGACAGCAGCGUGCAGAAGGCUCCCACCUCCUCUUUGCCAACAACUGAGCUGUGAUUGCUGUUUUACCAAAAAAGUUCUGCAAAUGGAGAGCAUGUUUUACUGUUUCUUAGGCUCAACCACUGCAUCUUAUGCCUCAAGCAGCCUUUGGAGCCUGUGUCUAACAGUGCAAGAGUAACCAGCUAUCUAAUCCUCUAGGAAGUGAUUAUCCAGAGCAGAGAAAGUGUCUUGAAAAUUUACUUAUUAUCAAGGAUUUUUUGCAAUGAGUUUCACGGUUUUGCAGAGAAAAUAAUAAAUUAAUUGCCUAUUUUUCCUUUUAUUGCAAAAUACGUGCCUAACAAAGCAUGGCGAAGAACAAAAAGGUGAUUCUCAGCUUUAGAAUAAACUGCUUAGUUAUACCUUUAAUAUAUAACUUCAGUGUUCCUUAUUUAAGAAAGUAUAUGAGAAAUUUAAUUCUCAAGGUGUGUGUGAAUUAAUUUGCAAAUUAUUUUUUUUUAAUCCAACCUUGUAGUUCUUUUUUGUGUGAAGUGUGUUAAUGUCAUUUACAUAAGAUCAAAUGUAAAUUUAUUUGAGUGAUAUUUAGGAUAACUACAGUAACACAGUAAUUUGAAUUUGCAGUAUCUUGGCUUGUGUAUUUAUAUGUGAUCUAUUAUCUUAGCUAACAUACAUUCAUGUAAAUGGAAUGGCCACACAAUGACAAGCUUACAAAGGCAAAUUAAUAUAUUAUCCCUGUGGACCGCGGACUUUCAAUCCUUUUGAAAUUACAUCACCAUAUGACAUGUGACCUCACCACAAGGACUAAAGGAGUCUCCUACCAGCCAUAAAGAUUUAUGCAACAUUGCUAGUCAAAUGCAUUAGCACCUUUUGUGUGCUAACUCCCCACCUCAGACAAAAACCUGUUUAUACGACUCUGGAGUCAAGUGGUAGCAAAAGAGUAUGCUUCUCCAUCCCCAAAGUGUGCUGUAUUAAAAGCAAACGUUUAUUGUUACAGCAAUAUUACAGAGUUUGAAAACCCCAGUCACUAAUGUUUCUCUCAAAGUGUUAACUCAGCCAUGCUGUGUAUUUUUUCUAUUUUCUGGUCUAAAAUAAAAUGCAAACCCCGUUUUUACUCA